GGUAGCUGAAGCCGCCUACAUCAGAAUUCAGUGAACCAUGAAAGGGGUAGAAGAAUCAUCCAGGGUGUUCUCAUGAGGAGAUCAUAGAAGAAAACGUGGAGGAUGAUGUGAGGAUCACAGAGAGAAAGAGAGAGAGAUAGAGAGAGAGAGAGAGGUUUCGUGCCAAGGAAUCAUUUGGGUGCAUGUUCAUUGAUAUGGGAGAACGUGGCCUUUGCCACAAGCAAAUCCCAUCUCACUUCUUCUUCUCCCCUCUCUAUGUAUCAUCUCCUGUUACCUAAUAUAUUGCGUAUAUAUAUAUAUACACACACAUCAGUCCCGUCUCAAAACCCUAUGUGCAAUUAGCUCCUCCUCUCUCUCUCUCUCUCUGUACAUUCCUUUCCUUGCCUGAGUUCAUGCCCAAGGCCUUACAAGUUCAUCUUCUAAAAAAGGAAGAAGUGGCCUUGAAAGGAAAAUAAAUCCCUAGCCAUGGAAGCAGCUACUACUCUACAGGCCCUUAACCUCAUCGCCACAACCCGAAGACCAGCGGAAGCACAUCGACCUCGAGCCAGGCAAAGGCAUGCACCGAGAAGAAGGCAGCAAGCGGGCAUGAGCAAGAGGGUUGGAGGUAGCAUCGGUGCAUGGAAUAGGAGGAGGCCAACCACCACCGCGAGCUACAUGGCGAAGAAGAUGAGAACGCUGCGACUGCUCGUCCCCCACGGCGAGUCGAUGGAGCUCGACGGACUCCUCCGCGGAGCAGCCGACCACAUCCUGCACCUGCAACUACAGGUGAAGGUGAUGCAGACGAUGGCUACUGCACUCUCACCAACCGAAGCUGAUGAACGAUCUCUGGCCUGGUGAAGCACUUGAUCCUCUCGGCAGCAAGCAGCCAUCAAGUCUUUCUUGUGCUCGUUUUCUUCUUCUUAUCUUCUUCGUGUUCUUUGGGACUGUUGAUAUGGACGUAUCCCACGAGGACACGCGUGCAUGCAGUAAGCGAGAUACGAGUAAUAUCUUACAAUGCCUCGUUUACCCGUCGUCACAUUCGAGCAUUCAUGUGGAUUUGAUGUAAUCGGCAAUUGCGAGCCUUUCGAUCCUCUUAUGAAACUUAAGCAAUUCCUCCAUCCAAAUUGUAGCCAUAUCCAAACUUAAGAAAUCAAAUAAAACAUAGAUCAAGUGAAAGUUUUAAUUUUAAGAAAAAUUAAAAUGACCGCAAAUGCAUAUCAAUCGAAAAGGUUUAGAUAGCAGCAAUUCCUAAUUCUUGUUGUUAUUUACGGAGCAGUUGUAUUCGUUCAAUUCUAAUUACCGCAAAUGCAUGUUCCGAAGGUUCUCUUCCCUUCGCUUCUUGCUGGUGUUGAGCUCUACGUUGAAUUGAAAGAAGAUAAUGGACAGGUUAUCAAGAUUGUCUAACCCUUGAUCGAGUUGAGCUCCUUACGAGCUAUCAUCUGCCUCCGCACUCGAGCAAUGGUUUGAGGGGCUGUUAUACGAUGGGAGGAUUGUGUGAAGCUCGUCGUCGUGGCUUCAGGGAAGGGAUGAUGUUUAUGUUCUACGUGAGGACACCAUCUUCUCGGGUUUGAACGGUUCGACAGCCGCCAUCUUCCGCUUCUUUCUUAUCUCUAUCUCGCUCUCUCACACCACGCGCUGAUCAACCGUAAUCCAAUACGGGUCGCCGCUGGCCCUCCGUCUUAUUAUGAAUCCAGACCCUACAUUCUCCAUCGGACGGCCGAUGUCUUUUCUAAAAAUGUCCCACAUCCGUUUAUCCAACGGUCCUGCUUCUCCCUCAGUCCCA
rnacentral:lncRNA from 1 species